rnacentral:rRNA from 1 species
AGAGUUUGAUCCUGGCUCAGAUUGAACGCUGGCGGCAUGCUUUACACAUGCAAGUCGAACGGCAGCACGGGGGCAACCCUGGUGGCGAGUGGCGAACGGGUGAGUAAUGCAUCGGAACGUAUCCUUGAGUGGGGGAUAACGCAGCGAAAGUUGUGCUAAUACCGCAUGAGCCCUGAGGGGGAAAGCGGGGGAUCUUCGGACCUCGCGCUAAGAGAAGAGCCUACGUCUGAUUAGCUAGUUGGUAGGGUAAAGGCCUACCAAGGCGACGAUCAGUAGCUGGUCGGAGAGGACGAUCAGCCACACUGGCACUGAGACACGGGCCAGACUCCUACGGGAGGCGAC